rnacentral:rRNA from 1 species
AGCGAACGCUGGCGGCAGGCCUAACACAUGCAAGUCGAACGAAGUCUUCGGACUUAGUGGCGUACGGGUGAGUAACACGUGGGAACGUGCCUUUAGGUUUGGAAUAACUCAGGGAAACUUGUGCUAAUACCGAAUGUGCUCUUCGGGGGAAAGAUUUAUCGCCUUUAGAGCGGCCCGCGUAUGAUUAGCUAGUUGGGGGGGUAAAGGCUCACCAAGGCUACGAUCAGUAGCUGGUCUGAGAGGAUGACCAGCCACAUUGGGACUGAGACACGGCCCAAACUCCUACGGGAGGCAGCAGUGGGGAAUCUUGCGCAAUGGGCGAAAGCCUGACGCAGCCAUGCCGCGUGGAUGAUGAAGGUCUUAGGAUUGUAAAAUCCUUUCACCGGUGAAGAUUAUGACUGUAGCCGGAGAAGAAGCCCCGGCUAACUUCGUGCCAGCCGCCGCCGUAAUAC